rnacentral:rRNA from 1 species
UGACCAAGAAGCCCCGGCUAACUACGUGCCAGCAGCCGCGGUAAUACGUAGGGGGCAAGCGUUAUCCGGAUUUACUGGGUGUAAAGGGAGCGUAGACGGUUAUGUAAGUCUGGAGUGAAAGCCCGGGGCCCAACCCCGGGACUGCUUUGGAAACUGUGUAACUGGAGUACAGGAGGGGCAGGCGGAAUUCCUGGUGUAGCGGUGAAAUGCGUAGAUAUCAGGAGGAACACCGGCGGCGAAGGCGGCCUGCUGGACUGAAACUGACGUUGAGGCUCGAAAGCGUGGGGAGCAAACAGGAUUAGAUACCCUAGUAGUCC